rnacentral:rRNA from 1 species
UGGAAGUAAAAGUCGUAACAAGGUUUCCGUAGGUGAACCUGCGGAAGGAUCAUUACCGAGUUUUCGAGCUCCGGCUCGACUCUCCCACCCUUUGUGAACGUACCUCUGUUGCUUUGGCGGCUCCGGCCGCCAAAGGACCUUCAAACUCCAGUCAGUAAACGCAGACGUCUGAUAAACAAGUUAAUAAACUAAAACUUUCAACAACGGAUCUCUUGGUUCUGGCAUCGAUGAAGAACGCAGCGAAAUGCGAUAAGUAAUGUGAAUUGCAGAAUUCAGUGAAUCAUCGAAUCUUUGAACGCACAUUGCGCCCACUAGUAUUCUAGUGGGCAUGCCUAUUCGAGCGUCAUUUCGACCCCUAAGCCCCUGUUGCUUAGCGUUGGGAAUCUACGGCGUAGUUCCUCAAAGUUAGUGGCGGAGUUAGGGUACACUCUCAGCGUAGUAAUUUCUCUCGCUCGUGUGGUGGCCCUGGCUGCUAGCCGUUAAAACCCCUAUAUUUUCUAGUGGUUGACCUCGGAUUAGGUAGGAAUACCCGCUGAACUUAAGCAUAUCAAUAAGCGGAGG